rnacentral:rRNA from 1 species
GCUGGCGGCAGGCUAAACCAUGCAAGUCGAGCGAGACUCGUCUAGCGGCGGACGGGUUAUAACGCGGGGAACGUGCCCCUCUCUGCGGAAUAGCCACUGGAACUGAGUAAUACCGCAUACGCCCUUCGGGGGAAAGAUUUAUCGGGAAGGAUCGGCCCGCGUUAGAUUAGAUAGUUGGUGGGGUAACGGCCUACCAAGUCUACGAUCUAUAGCUGGUUUUAGAGGAUGAUCAGCAACACUGGGACUGAGACACGGCCCAGACUCCUACGGGAGGCGGCAGUGGGGAAUCUUAGACAAUGGGCGCAAGCCUGAUCUAGCCAUGCCGCGUGUGUGAUGAAGGUCUUAGGAUCGUAAAGCACUUUCGCCAGGGAUGAUAAUGACAGUACCUGGUAAAGAAACCCCGGCUAACUCCGUGCCAGCAGCCGCGGUAAUACGGAGGGGGUUAGCGUUGUUCGGAAUUACUGGGCGUAAAGCGUACGUAGGCGGAUCAGAAAGUUGGGGGUGAAAUCCCGGGGCUCAACCCCGGAACUGCCUCCAAAACUCCUGGUCUUGAGUUCGAGAGAGGUGAGUGGAAUCCCAAGUGUAGAGGUGAAAUUCGUAGAUAUUUGGAGGAACACCAGUGGCGAAGGCGGCUCACUGGCUCGAUACUGACGCGAGGUACGAAAGUGUGGGGAGCAAACAGGAUUAGAUACCCUGGUAGUCCACACCGUAAACGAUGAAUGCCACGUCGUCGGGCAGAUACUGUUCGGUGACACACCCUAACGGAUUAGCUUCCGCCUGGGGAGUACGGUCGCAAGAUAAAACUACAAAGAAGUUCAGACG